UGCGACUAUUUAACAUGUGUUAAAUGCAGGUCUUCCUUGUACCACACACUCUAUAUAAAAUACAUGACAUAGAUUAUUCUGGCUCCAUCCUGGUUCCCAUUUGCUCAUAUAAUCUACUCCCUUUUCUCUCUUAUAGUACGGCAACUUCCUGUAGUCUUGGCUGCAAAUGGUAAAAUGGAACUAAUGAUGCCUAUACUGUUUACAUCAUGGGAAACUUCAAAGUCCUAUUUCAAAGUAAGUUGUAAUUAUUAAGUGAUUUCUUUAGUUGAUCACUUAAUAUAUUUAUGUCAAAGAGAAUCUAAAUGGUCCUUGGCUAAACUAGGCUAAUUAACAUGGUUAAACUUGGGUCAAUUACUGGGUAUUCCAGACAAGGAAUCAUCCAUUUCAUAUAAAGCAACACUUUUUACAAAAUAAGACUGUCCCAAAACAUAAUGGAAUUUUCCAAAAGAAGGGAAUUAGAGACUAGAUGAUCAGCCUUUCAAUUCGAGGACAAUUACCUUAUUUGAUUCCCACAAUAAUUCUCUGAGAUCAGUGUUAUUAUUAUCCCCAACUUACAGGUGAGGACAGAGACCUAAAUUUUUUAUUUUUUUUUCACAGUCAUAAUACUGAUAAAUACUUUCAUAAGAUUCUAUAUGGGACUCAUACUUUGAUAAGAGUUGCACUAUGUUGUCUUUGAUGUUUCUGCCAACUUUAAAGAUUUAUGUUUUUCAUGUUGAAUGCAUAUCUGGCAGGAAUCGCCAUAACCUCAAAAAGCUUAUGAUUCUUUACAUAUGUACUAGAGGGGGGUAGGAACUAAAGUUUGAAAGGUCUAAGAGAGAGAGGGGGGAUGGAUAAAAAGAAGCACUCCUUCUCCUAGGUAGAAUUACACAAGGGAAGGUGAGAGAUUUGAUCACUGUACAGAGCUGAAAGGUAAGGAGGAAAUCUCCUUCAGCUUCUGUUUCUGGUUUCUUCCCUUGAUAGAUAUUACCCUGAUCCCCUUAGCACUUUAGAAUAAGAUGUUUAAUUUCUUCUGGAUUAAUAAGAUCUAUUUAUUAUUUGUAGUAUUUACAAAUGGUAGGUUUGGGGUAGAAGAAAAAUUAGGAAACCCCUAAUUUCCAUUUUUGUCCUAAAUUCCCCUCAGGGAGUGAGGACUCAGGACUGGGGACCUGAGUCCCUGCUGAUAUUGUGGAGUCA
rnacentral:lncRNA from 1 species